CAUCUACUCAAAACGCUACGUUUUUGAUUCUAUAGUUUUAUCCUGUCUUUUUUCUCAGCCGCUGCGAUACCAUACCGUACUCUAGGGUUUCGAUCGAGAUGUUUCAUCUUCUUCCUACGGAUUCAGCAAUCUACCAGUUACAGAUUCAUCAUCUUAAAGUCCUUAUUAUAUCCAUCAUCCAUGAUCUACUUUAAAUGCGAGAUUCGCUCAUGCAAGGCGGUGUAUCUACGGGUAUAAAAAGCGGCGCUUCUGCGGUUUUCUCAGGUGUGAAGCUAGCUCAGGAUCAUCACGGGGCAAAAAGAACCCUAUUCAGAUGCUAUUUAAGAAGGCUAAUCUAGCAAUAUAAAGAGAAGAGAAAAUCGCUAUUAUAAGUUCCAACGGGUGCAGAAAGAGUAUAUUACUGAAGCUAAUUAUUAGUUUAGAGAAAGCAAUGAAAGGUGAAGUUGUUCUUGGAGAGCACAACGUAGUGCCAAACUACUUUGAACAGUUUCAGCUUAGGUGGAGUCAACCAAAAUCGUCCCGGAAGUGGCUCCAAGUAUGGUGGUGUCCAGUAACUUAAGAGCGUAACACUUACUGAUCUAAACGUAUACAUUCUCAACAAUCCUCUGCAGGUGAAAAUAAAAUCUAUACACUUUUCAUAGACUCUCAUGCGGCACAAGUUGGAAACAUACAUUAACUCAUUGUCAUAUAGUCAGGCGGAGUUUCUUUGCUCUAGGAAAGUUGAGGCCAUCGAAACUUGCAAUGGGUGCUGCUAUGUUUCGUGAUCCCAAAUGUUCAAAAAAAAAACUGCAGUGUGGACUAUCAUCCUUCAGCCGCACGAUAUGAUUGCCAUAGCUGCAAUCGGUGCCGCCACGUGAUACUCCGCCUCUUUGAAAGACUACUCAUGGAGCUUGGGUUUAGAAUAGCUGUGUUUGUUGUUUUCGACUCAGCAUCUAACUUGCGAUGGUUGUCUCAGAUAAGACAGAAACAGCUGUAUUGCUUUCGACUCAACCAUGAAAUCUAACAAAUGUUUGUGCCACAGAGUUGACACUGAAAUGGGACAAGGUGGAUGAGGGUGGGAGCAGUGUCGCAGAACCCAUACGGGCGUUACCAGAUCCUACGCCUAUGAAGCCAAAGAGCAUUUACGAUUUUGAGUAAAACUCAUAAUAAUGUGCCCUCUAAUCUCAAGCAGCUCAAUUGUCAUCUACUAUCUUUUAAUAGAUUCUGCUUCCAGUUUAUUAAUUGUAAGGCCUUUUAAAUCUUCAUCCUAUACAAUUAUUUGGGUUUUUAUUACAAAUAAAAACUUUCACAUCUAAA